ensembl:miRNA
GAGGUGGGAGGACUGCUUGAGCCCAGGAGGUUGAGGCUGCAGUGAGCUAUGAUUGCACCACUGCACUCCAGCCUGAGUGACAGAGAAAGACCCUGUCUC